rnacentral:rRNA from 1 species
GCAAGUCGAGCGGAGANGAGGNGCUUGCACCUUAUCUUAGCGGCGGACGGGUGAGUAAUGCUUAGGAAUCUGCCUAUUAGUGGGGGACAACAUUCCGAAAGGAAUGCUAAUACCGCAUACGUCCUACGGGAGAAAGCAGGGGAUCUUCGGACCUUGCGCUAAUAGAUGAGCCUAAGUCGGAUUAGCUAGUUGGUGGGGUAAAGGCCUAGCAAGGCGACGAUCUGUAGCGGGUCUGAGAGGAUGAUCCGCCACACUGGGACUGAGACACGGCCCAGACUCCUACGGGAGGCAGCAGUGGGGAAUAUUGGACAAUGGGGGGAACCCUGAUCCAGCCAUGCCGCGUGUGUGAAGAAGGCCUUAUGGUUGUAAAGCACUUUAAGCGAGGAGGAGGCUACUGAGACUAAUACUCUUGGAUAGUGGACGUUACUCGCAGAAUAAGCACCGGCUAACUCUGUGCCAGCAGCCGCGGUAAUACAGAGGGUGCGAGCGUUAAUCGGAUUUACUGGGCGUAAAGCGUGCGUAGGCGGCUUUUUAAGUCGGAUGUGAAAUNCUCNGAGCUUAACUUGGGAAUUGCAUUCGAUACUGGGAAGCUAGAGUAUGGGAGAGGAUGGUAGAAUUC